GAUGAACGCUGGCGGCGUGCCUAAUACAUGCAAGUCGAACGAAACUUCUUUAUCACCGAGUGCUUGCACUCACCGAUAAAGAGUUGAGUGGCGAACGGGUGAGUAACACGUGGGCAACCUGCCCAAAAGAGGGGGAUAACACUUGGAAACAGGUGCUAAUACCGCAUAACCAUAGUUACCGCAUGGUAACUAUGUAAAAGGUGGCUAUACUACCGCUUUUGGAUGGGCCCGCGGCGCAUUAGCUAGUUGGUAGGGUAAAGGCUUACCAAGGCAAUGAUGCGUAGCCGAAUUGAGAGGUUGAUCGGCCACAUUGGGACUGAGACACGGCCCAAACUCCUACGGGGGCAGCAGUAGGGAAUCUUCCACAAUGGGCGAAAGCCUGAUGGAGCAACGCCGCGUGGGUGAAGAAGGUCUUCGGAUCGUAAAACCCUGUUGUUAGAGAAGAAAGUGCGUGAGAGUAACUGUUCACGUUUCGACGGUAUCUAACCAGAAAGCCACUGCUAACUACGUG
rnacentral:rRNA from 1 species